UACGUAGGGUGCGAGCGUUAAUCGGAAUUACUGGGCGUAAAGCGUGCGCAGGCGGUUUGUAAGCCAGAUGUGAAAGCCCGGGCUUAACCUGGGAAUGGCAUUUGGGACUGCAAGGCUGGAGUGUGGCAGAGGAGACUGGAAUUCCUGGUGUAGCAGUGAAAUGCGUAGAUAUCAGGAGGAAUACCGAUGGCGAAGGCAGGUCUCUGGGCGUGACACUGACGUGAGGAGCGAAAGCGUGGGGAGCGAACAGG
rnacentral:rRNA from 1 species